rnacentral:rRNA from 1 species
UACGUAGGGGGCAAGCGUUGUCCGGAUUUAUUGGGCGUAAAGAGCGUGUAGGCGGCCACACAGGUCUGCUGUGAAAACUCGAGGCUCAACCUCGAGCUGUCGGUGGAAACCGUGUGGCUAGAGUCCGGAAGAGGAGAGUGGAAUUCCUGGUGUAGCGGUGAAAUGCGUAGAUAUCGGAAGGAACACCAGUGGCGAAAGCGGCUUCCUGGUCCAGCACCGACGUUCAGGCACGAAAGCGUGGGGAGCAAACGGG